rnacentral:rRNA from 1 species
UACGAAGGGGGCUAGCGUUGUUCGGAAUUACUGGGCGUAAAGCGCACGUAGGCGGACUACUAAGUCAGGGGUGAAAUCCCGGGGCUCAACCCCGGAACUGCCUUUGAUACUGAUAGUCUCGAGUCCGGAAGAGGUGAGUGGAAUUCCGAGUGUAGAGGUGAAAUUCGUAGAUAUUCGGAAGAACACCAGUGGCGAAGGCGACUUACUGGACACAUAUUGACGCUGAGGUGCGAAAGCGUGGGGAGCAAACAGG